UACAGAGGUCUCAAGCGUUGUUCGGAUUCAUUGGGCGUAAAGGGCGCGUAGGCGGCGGGGUAAGUCGGGUGUGAAAUCUCAGAGCUCAACUCUGAAACUGCACUCGAUACUGCUCUGCUUGAGGACUGGAGAGGAGACUGGAAUUCACGGUGUAGCAGUGAAAUGCGUAGAUAUACGGAGGAACACCAGCGGCGAAGGCGGGUAGCUGGGCCAACACUGACGCUGAUGCGCGAAAGCUAGGGUAGCAAACGGG
rnacentral:rRNA from 1 species